rnacentral:rRNA from 1 species
UGAGCAAUCUGCCCUUCACAUCGGAAUAACCAUUGGAAACGAUGGCUAAUACCGAAUAUGACUUCGGAUCGCAUGAUCUGAAGUGGAAAGCUCCGGCGGUGAAGGAUGAGCUCGCGGCCUAUCAGCUUGUUGGUGAGGUAAUAGCUCACCAAGGCGACGACGGGUAGCCGGCCUGAGAGGGUGACCGGCCACACUGGGACUGAGACACGGCCCAGAUCCGUAACGGG